rnacentral:rRNA from 1 species
UAAUGAAACGUUUUAUCAUGAAUCAGAUUUAACGCUGGCGGCAGGCCUAACACAUGCAAGUCGAGCGGUAGCACAGAGAGCUUGCUCUCGGGUGACGAGCGGCGGACGG